rnacentral:misc_RNA from 1 species
CAUUUUUUCUGUAUAUCAGUGCUUUCAAUCCGUUCCAUAGCCAGACAAAUGCCCACUAAAAUUUUGUUUGUCCAAAUAUAAACCAAUUACAGCAACAAAGCACUUUCUGAUUGUCAUCUAUCAAAAAAAUGACAACUGGAUUUGCCAAAUAAUUGGGAAGGCUUCUUAACACUAUUUUCUCAUCCGUUACAAAAGAAUGAUGGUAUAAUUAACUCAAAAUAUACAGAUUACGACCUCGGUUGUGUUGCCAAAACAAAGGGAAGGAAGCAGCGAGGAAUAAAACCAGAACUAAGCAUCUUCAUUUAAUGAUCAAUUCAGAUUCGCAUAUCAAAGAAGUUUGCUGGUUCUUCGUCUUGAUGGCCCUCCAGGAAAGAGCUUCAUUAUCCACCCCAAAACCCUUUCAACCACCUCAUCACCCUCGUCUGCAUAUGCAGUAUUGUCCUGUGUAGUACGAGAAUCAGUUAACCUUGACGGGACAUUCUCAUUUGCCAUACUUUGAGCAGUCAAAAGCUCUAAUCUUUGAGUCUGAGCCUCGAGCUUGCGUGACAACUCAUUAUUUAAAUCCUUAAGCCUAGAACGUUGAGAUGACUCGGAUGCCAAAGCUUGUAUCAACUCUUCCUUUUCUAUUGCUAACUCUGAAAUUAGCGUAUUAAUGUUUACAAUCAUCCUCAUCUGAUCUGGAGGAAUAUACACAGAUGAAACUUCAAUAUUUGACUGGUCAUUUUCAGGUAGCAUGGGAAAACCAGGGGUUUCACUUCCAACAAGUGAAGGCGCAUUUGUUUCCUGGUUCGAAGUAUAAGGGAUGGCAUCUAAAUCUUCUGUAGUCGUUGACAUAUCCUUUUUAUUGUUGCAACUCUUGCUAACAUCAAUAGACUUUCCACUUCCUGAAGCUUUCCGUAACUUGGAUUGCAAUAGUUUCUUCUCUUCUUGAAGAGCAUCAAUUGUUGAUUGCAAGUCCUGACGAUCUUUCUCUAGGCUGGACAUUUUCUUUUUG